rnacentral:rRNA from 1 species
GACGUAGGGCGCAAGCGUUGUCCGGAUUUAUUGGGCGUAAAGCGCGUGUAGGCGGCUUGGCAAGUCGGGUGUGAAAGCCCUCAGCUCAACUGAGGAAGUGCGCCCGAAACUGCUGAGCUUGAGUGCCGGAGAGGGUGGCGGAAUUCCCCAAGUAGAGGUGAAAUUCGUAGAUAUGGAGAGGAACACCGGUGGCGAAGGCGGCCACCUGGACGGUGACUGACGCUGAGACGCGAAAGCGUGGGGAGCAAACAGG